CAGCAGCCGCGGGAAUACAGAGGGUGCAAGCGUUAAUCGGAAUUACUGGGCGUAAAGCGCGCGUAGGUGGUUCGCCAAGUCGGAUGUGAAAGCCCGGGGCUCAACCCCGGAACUGCAUCCGAGACUGGCAGGCUUGAGACCGGGAGAGGAGGGUGGAAUAUCCAGUGUAGAGGUGAAAUUCGUAGAUAUUGGAUGGAGCACCGGUGGCGAAAGCGGCUCUCUGGCCCGGAUCUGACGCUGAGGCGCGAAAGCGUGGGGAGCAAACAGGAUUAGAUACCCGCGUAGUCCCUGUCUCUUAUAC
rnacentral:rRNA from 1 species